UGGGGAAUAUUGGACAAUGGGCCACGAGCCUGAUCCAGCAAUUCUGUGUGGACGAUGAAGGUUUUCGGAUUGUAAAGUCCUUUCAGUAGGGAAGAAAAAAAUGACGGUACCUACAGAAGAAGCACCGGCUAAUUAUGUGCCAGCAGCCGCGGUAAGACAUAAGGUGCGAGCGUUAUCCGGAAUCACUGGGCGUAAAGGGCAUCUAGGCGGUUUAUUAAGUCAGGGGUGAAAAGCCGAAGCUCAACUUUGGUCUUGCCUUUGAAACUGAUAGACUAGAAUACGGGAUAGGAGGGCGGAACUACAAGUGUAGAGGUGAAAUUCGUAGAUAUUUGUAGGAAUGCCGAUGACGAAGGUAGCUCUCUGGACCGAUAUUGACGCUGAAGUGCGAAAGCUAGGGUAGCAAACA
rnacentral:rRNA from 2 species